AGAAGGGGAUUGACGGAAUUGUAGACUCGCUGUAGAUUUGACAACUCUGCAUUGCGUGGUUUUCAAAGUCAUCAUCAGAGGGAAAUCUCCUUGGCCCGAAAAGCUCAGAAUGGAAACCUGGCCUGUACGUACUUAAGCAAUAAGGGACCAGAGGCUGUUGGGCCAGACGCACAAUGUUUUGGGAAGGGUAAAAUUAGCGGAUUUUGGCAUUAGUCGGCGGUUACUCGAUAACCGCAGUGCACACUGCACAGUUGUUGCAGGAACAAAAUGCUGGAUGGCCAGAGAGACUUUAAAAGAAGAAACUAGCGCAUACUACAGGCGGAGCACCGACAUCCAGGUGGCAGGCAUGCUGAUAUAUUACAUCCUUUCUGAAGGACACCAUCCUUUUGGUGACGAGGCCGUUGAAUGUAUGGGCAACAUUUCCAAUGGUGAAUACACUUUGGACAAAGUAAAAGAUCUCAUUGAGUCGAUGAUCGAUAAAGAACCAAAGAAUAGACCUCAAGUGGAAGAAUGCUUGAGUCACCCUUUCUUCUGGACCCCAGUCAGAAAAUUAGGCUACAUUCAAAAAGUUGGAGACCGGGCUGAUGUGCAAAACUAUCGAAAUCCUGAAGAUAAAUUGAUUUCUUCGCUGGAGGAACAUCCUGGUACUGCAGCCUUCAAACAGUGGAAAGAUAAGUUUCCAUCAGAGCUGGUCAAAAAGAUGGAAGGCAAAAAGCAAUCCUACCCUGACCAUAUGUUGGCAUUGUUGCGUUUCAUACGCAACGGCUUCACGCACUAGUGUGCAAUUCUCGGCCAAAGUCUGCCAGGAGAACCAACGCAGCGGAGCCUCCCGGCUCCCUGGUCAGCUGCCUGAUGGAGCGCGUCAGGAACAAGCCUGAGCCCAGUGGGAGAGCCUUUCAGGACUUGGACCACCUGAAGCAGUUCUGCGAGAUCACAGGCAGUAGGACUUGAAUGCCAACAUCUGAAAGGCUCGGCUCGGCUGCGGGUGAAGAAUCGAGCGCGGCUCAGGACGUGUUCUAACAAACCCCAGCGGCAGCUGAAGGUCGGUUCUACCUCACAGAGCUAAUCUGUUAGCUGCUACAGUAUGACGUCCACGUCCCAGUUGUGAUGCAUGACUUGGGGCAUUUCAUAUUUUACCAAAAUGGCAAAAACAAUACAUUUAAUCGCACUGAUCAAUACAGAAGCGCGAAGACCCUACUGGACAUGGACGUGUUGGUUAUGCUUCGCUUUAGAUCCACAGUCUGCAUGAAAAAGCAUUUUACAGUGAAAGCUUGAACUCUCACAAAACGUUCCCCUAAAAGAAACUCUUACAGCUAUAUCCCACCCAAGUGAGGACCUGAUCGUAGUCUGUGUGCAGUAAGAGUAGUGGAUCCUUUUUGUAGAGUUCCCGCAGAACCAGAUGAACCAGUUCAAGGGGAUCAUCCCUCUUAGCUGAUCUGAGGAGCUCAGUCAUGAAAGACAGGUCUGGACUGAAACCAAAGAAUCCACAAAUAAUGACUUAUUCUUUAACAUUUGUCCUCUCAGUAUACUGUGUAACUGUUGUUUAGCAGUAGCUACACAGUGCACGCCAUGGCAGUGGCAAGAAUGCAAAGUACCAUCUACGUAGUUAAAAGUCCUCAUUCAGAUGACUAAGAGAGGUUUCAUGAUCUUCAUGCUUGGUUUGUUACAUGGAGUGUUUUACAACUAUGACUUUGAUGGAUGGACAUAAAACAUAUCGCUGAGUAUGCCAAUAUGAGCUUAUUACUUUGGUCUGCUCUCCGUGAAGUUUUGGCUGCCUUCUAAAAUUAGGUCUUCCUCUUUUAUUUCAGAACCAGCAUCCCAUUUCUUCCUUUGUGCCCUGCAACAUUAAAUAGCUCAGAGAGAACAAAAAGGAUACAAAGCAAAAUGCAUCUUGUUUUCUUCUAUAAAGUAGUUGGAGAGAAUAAUAAUACAACACAUUGAUACAGUACAUAUAUGGAUUUCUUUUUGUAUAUAGAUGCGUCUAUUGAAAUUUUCCAUAGCAAGAAAUAUAAAACUUCCUUGUAUGUUGUUGAUUCAAACAUCUACAAAACCGCAAAAGUCACAUUAAGUGACAAAAGUAACACUAAGUGUUUUGAAGGUUUCUUCGGGUUUCUUUUGAGGCUAAUUUGGGAUCUGCAGGUGUUGUUAUUGGUGAACUUUGUCUCUUUCCUUCCUGCAAAAGAACUUUCACACAUUGUGCAUGGCGCGCGUGUGUGUGUGUGUGCGUUGGUGUGGUGCUGUGACGCUGCUGUCGGCGCCGCUGUGUGCCCGAUGUAAAACGCCAUGCGUACAUUUGAGCGAAAACAACUCAAACACGUGGAACUGACGGGGUGCAGAUCCCUCAGCGUGUCAUUGGUUAAUAUGAGGAAUAAGUCCCCCCACACUGAAUGACACCACUGUUGCUGCGAUCGAGAAGGAAGACCCGGAGAGGGUGAUAGUUGGCACAGAUUGUGCUCCGUCUCCUCCCUCUCUGUUUCACCCUUCAUCCCUCUCCUCCCAGUGCCGGCUGUCAGUCACGUCAGUCAGUGUGCUAAUGACGCUCCCGUACAGAGCCGAGUGACACAUCUGCCGUGCCAGGAUAUCUCUCUGUUCACGUGGGAGCACUUCACAAAUGGCCUACUUUUGUGUACUUUUGUAAGCUCAAGAAGCACACAGCAGACAUCAUUUUAGUACUUCACUGAUGACUGGGACAUUUCUUCCUUUAGCUGACCGACUGCGUAAUUUGAACACGAGACAAAUCAUCCUUUUAACACUAAUAAUAAUAAACUGGAGAAAAUGUGUGAAGUGUGCAAAAUAAUGUGCUCAAAAGAUUACAACACCUAAACCAAUGUGCCGAGUGGAAAAAAAGGAUAUGAGGUAAAUACACUGAAAGGUUCUCCAUCUCUGAUAUAUACAAGAUGUAGAACUCAUGCUAAGAUUUAUGGUCUCCAGGCAUUGAUAAUUCAAUCCGGACGUUGCCUUUUUAAACAUUUCAAAAAGGAAAAUAAUGAACCUUUGUGUUUGCUAAUCAAGGAACUGGAGGCCUCAAAAGGUUCCUUAACAGCCUUGUUGGAGAUGUCAGAAAAAAAAAAGGGGGGGGGGGUUUAGUGGCCCCAGCCGAGCGGGCAGAGCGAGUGACAGGCCGCCUGCUGCAGGCAGGAAUCAAACUACAUACAGCUAUGGAUAGAGUCGGACCCCGGGCACGCUCUAAUUAGCAGCCCAA